rnacentral:lncRNA from 1 species
UUCUUCCCAAUGGUGAGUUUUCUCUUGACAUAUCAUUAUCUCUACUGUCUCUAAUUGAGAGUUAAAUUUCAAAUAGACUCCAAGAUCAUAUAGGUAGUGCUGGUAGAUAUACUCAGCAAGUGGAUGAGCACAACCCUGUCUUAUGAUGACACGAGGUUGUAUGUCAUUAGACAUCUUGUAUGAUAGUGGCAAAACACCCUUCCAAGUUAAAUUCACCUCACCCUCAACAUCUAUAGACCACCGUUCUAUUCCCUUGUUAUUCCCCCGCUCGACCCAGCUACACUUUUAUUACCUGAAAGGAAUUGUGAAGCAAAAGGGUGAGCACAACUAGCUCAGUAAAAAAAAUAUCAUGACUAAAGAUAAUUAAAUUAUCAAUAGCCUUCAUCAAUAAUAAAUCAGAGAUUUAGAACAUAUGGUAGAUGAUAAAAAAAUUUCAACCAUAGUUGCAGCGGAACGAGCACUCCAUUAGAAGAGUCAAAUAGACCAUAAAGUCUAUUAUCUUCUCCAUGUUAAAAGUCCACCAACAAUGUUUUAUCCCUGUAACAUCAAUCAACAAUUCCUGUCCACAAUCACAUGUAUAACUCAUAAUCGUAAUUGUUGUUCUAAAUUCCUUUUCUCAUUCAGGACGAAG